rnacentral:lncRNA from 1 species
AAAAUAAAAAUAAAUUCACAAAUUAGUUAAACAUAAUUUUUUGAGCCACAGGGUGUCAAAGUAAAAAAAAUGUUCUAUAUCAUAGGAUAAUUAAUUGUAACUUUUGAACCGUAGGGUGACAAAGUAAAAAUAUGCUAAACCACAACGAGACAAAUUGAAGUUUACCUAAUAUUAUGUUAUGCAAAUUAUGGUCUAAUUUAGCAUCUGUAAUGUCCCGCUUCCCACGAAUUCACUUAUUCUAGAAUUAUUCUAGUCUAUGCAUUCUCAACCCUUUUAAUAUCUUGGGCUUAAAAGUUCUAAAGAUGCUAAGAUCAUAGAACUUACAAUUUUGU